CCCGCUGAACUUAAGCAUAUCAAUAAGCGGAGGAAAAGAAACUAACAAGGAUUCCCCUAGUAACGGCGAGUGAAGAGGGAAAAGCUCAAAUUUUGAAUCUGGUGUCUUUGACCCCCGAGUUGUAAUCUAGAGAAGUGUUUUCCGCUUUGGACCGUGUACAAGUCCCCUGGAACGGGGCGUCAUAGAGGGUGAGAAUCCCGUAUAUGCCAUGGACUACCAAUGCUCUGUGAUACACUCUCAACGAGUCGAGUUGUUUGGGAAUGCAGCUCAAAAUGGGUGGUAAAUUCCAUCUAAAGCUAAAUAUUGGCGAGAGACCGAUAGCGAACAAGUACCGUGAGGGAAAGAUGAAAAGCACUUUGGAAAGAGAGUGAAACAGUACGUGAAAUUGUUGAAAGGGAAGCGUUUGAAGUCAGUCGUAUCUGUCGGAAUUCAGCCUGGCUUCUGCCUGGUGUACUUUCCGUCCGAUGGGUCAGCAUCAAUUUUGACCGAGGGAAAAAGAUGUUCGGAAUGUGGCUGUCUUCGGGCAGUGUUAUAGCCUUGCAUUGUAUGUCUCGGUUGGGAUUGAGGAACGCAGCGCGCCUGUUGGCCGGGGGUUCGCGCUCCUCGGUACGCGCUUAGGAUGCUGGCAUAAUGGCUUUAAGCGACCCGUCUUGAAACACGG
rnacentral:rRNA from 1 species